rnacentral:misc_RNA from 1 species
GGAUCUUCGUCGAUAUACAGGGUGGUUGGUAACUGGUGGUACAAGCGGAAAGGGGGUGAUUCUACGCGAAAAAAGAAGUCGAAAAUAUAGAAUAAAAAUUUUUCGUUUGAGGCUUGGUUAUCGAGAAAAUCGACUUUGAAUUUUCGCUCGGUACGCGCGCACUUUAUCGCGUCUCGUUAUGACGGAUCUCACUGUAGAUCGUUGUCUCGAUGGAUAUUAUCGCAGAAAAAUGUUUAUUCUAUAUUUUCG